CUCAGACAGGUUAUACCAUUCAAAGUAAUGGUCCAUAUCAGCGAGCCAGUCAAUGAAGACUUUUGGGUCAAGACGACCAUCAUAACUUGGUGCAUCGAUCUUAAUACUGCGCAUUACAUGCUCAUCUGGUGUCUCACGUGCUCUUAGAUAGUCCCUUUGGUGUUGUGGCCCAAGGCCUCUGGGGCGGGGCGAUGUCGGAGGGUGGCGAUCUUCGUUUUGGGGAGCGAAGGAAGCGGCGAGGGCGGAGGAUGGAGUCGGCAACGGAAGUGGAGGUGGUGGCGCGGGGAAAGAGAGGCUUCGGUGAGAUGGGAGGGAGAAGGGUUUUAGUGAGCUGAGAGGGAGAAGAAAAUGGGAAGAACUCAAGGGUCGGUGGAGGGUGGAGGAAACGGAGAAGAUGAAAAAGAGGGGAAGG
rnacentral:lncRNA from 1 species